CAGCCGCCACGGUAAUACGUAGGUGGCAAGCGUUGUCCGGAAUUAUUGGGCGUAAAGGGCUCGCAGGCGGUUUCUUAAGUCUGAUGUGAAAGCCCCCGGCUCAACCGGGGAGGGUCAUUGGAAACUGGGAAACUUGAGUGCAGAAGAGGAGAGUGGAAUUCCACGUGUAGCGGUGAAAUGCGUAGAGAUGUGGAGGAACACCAGUGGCGAAGGCGACUCUCUGGUCUGUAACUGACGCUGAGGAGCGAAAGCGUGGGGAGCGGACAGGAUUAGAUACCCGCGUAGUCCCUGUCUCUUAUAC
rnacentral:rRNA from 1 species